rnacentral:rRNA from 1 species
CUGGGCUUGACAUGUAAUGAACCACAUGUGAAAGCAUGCCACUCUUCGGAGGCCUUACACAGGUGCUGCAUGGCCGUCCUCAGCUCCUGUCCUGAGAUGUUUGGUUAAGUCCAGCAACGAGAGCAACCCCCUGUUGCCAGUUACCAGCACGUGAAGGUGGGGACUCUGGCGAGACUGCCCAGAUCAACUGGGAGGAAGGUGAGGACGACUUCACGUCACUAUGGCCCUUAUGCCCAGGGCUGCACACCUACUACAAUGCCCAGUACAGAGGGGGCCCAAGCCGCGAGGCGGAUGAAAUCCUAACAACUGGGCCCAGAUCGGACUGUAGGCUGCAACCCGCCUACACUAAACCCGAAUCGCUAGUAAUGGCGCCUCAGCUACGGCGCCGUGAAUACGUUCCC